GGCCCUUUAUGUCCAGGGCUACACACGUGUUACAAUGGUCGGUACAAAGGGCAGCUACACCGCGAGGUGAUGCUAAAUCUCUAAAGCCGGUCUCAGUUCGGAUCGAAGUCUGCAACCCGACUUCGUGAAGUUGGAUUCGCUAGUAAUCGCGCAUCAGCCAUGGCGCGGUGAAUACGUUCCCGGGCCCUU
rnacentral:rRNA from 1 species